AACGCAAGUUGCGGUUUUCUUUCGAUAACUAUGUUUGCCUGAGGGUUGUUUCACACAAAUUGAGGCGUGUCAUUUCCCAUAAAAAAGAGAUUAUUUCCUUUAAAUAAUUUUUUUUUUCUUUUUCCUUGGAAACAAAGAGAAGGAGCUCAUUGAGUACCUUCCAAAAAAAAAAAAUUAAUUAAUAACGCAACCUCAGAUCAAGCAAGACUACCCGCUGAACUUAA
rnacentral:misc_RNA from 1 species